GAAAUGCGAAAAGUAAUGCGAAUUGCAGAAUUCAGCGAGUCAUCGAGUUUUUGAACGCACAUUGCGCCCCUCGGCAUUCCGUGGGGCAUGCCUGUUCGAGCGUCAUCUACACCCUCAAGCUCUGCUUGGUGUUGGGCGUCUGUCCCGCCUCCGCGCGCGGACUCGCCCCAAAUGCAUUGGCAGCGGUUCCUUGCCCCCCUCUUUGCGCAGCACAUUGCCAUUCGAGGCGGCGGCGGCCCGCGUCCAACAAGCUCAACCCCCCCGUCUUUGACCUCGGAUCAGGUAGGGAUACCCGCUGAACUUAAGC
rnacentral:misc_RNA from 1 species